rnacentral:misc_RNA from 1 species
CUGUACCCACAGGGGUGGGCUUUCGGGCCUGCCUCCUGUCUACCACCCAUGCUUUUUGCGUACCCACUGUUUCCUCGGCAGGCUUGCCUGCCAGUAGGACCUUUUUUUGAACCUUUUGCAGUUGCAGUCAGCGUCAGAAACAACGUAAUCGUUA